AGCGAACGCUGGCGGCAGGCCUAACACAUGCAAGUCGAACGAAGCCUUCGGGCUUAGUGGCGGACGGGUGAGUAACACGUGGGAACGUACCUUUUGGUUCGGAAUAACGCAGAGAAAUUUGCGCUAAUACCGAAUGAGCCCUUCGGGGGAAAGAUUUAUCGCCGAAAGAUCGGCCCGCGUUGGAUUAGGUAGUUGGGGUGGUAAAGGCGCACCAAGCCUACGAUCCAUAGCUGGUCUGAGAGGAUGAGCAGCCACACUGGGACUGAGACACGGCCCAGACUCCUACGGGAGGCAGCAGUGGGGAAUGUUGCGCAAUGGGCGAAAGCCUGACGCAGCCAUGCCGCGUGAAUGAUGAAGGUCUUAGGAUUGUAAAAUUCUUUUACCAGGGACGAUAAUGACGGUACCUGGAGAAAAAGCCCCGGCUAACUUCGUGCCAGCCGCCGCGGUAACAC
rnacentral:rRNA from 1 species